rnacentral:tRNA from 1 species
GAAGGUAUAGCUCAAGUGGUAGAGUGCAUGCUUAGCAUGCAUGAGGUCCUGGGUUCAAUCUCCAGUACCUCCU